rnacentral:rRNA from 1 species
UACGUAGGGCGCAAGCGUUGUCCGGAAUUAUUGGGCGUAAAGAGCUCGUAGGUGGCUUGUCGCGUCUGCCGUGAAAGCCCAUGGCUUAACUGUGGGUCUGCGGUGGAUACGGGCAAGCUAGAGGCUGGUAGGGGCAAGCGGAAUUCCUGGUGUAGCGGUGAAAUGCGCAGAUAUCAGGAGGAACACCGGUGGCGAAGGCGGCUUGCUGGGCCGACACUGACGCUGAGGCGCGAAAGCCAGGGGAGCAAACGGG